GUGGGAAGGAGAUGCUCAGGCAGAUCUGUCUCUGAUUGUUUCCAAGAUCUGUCUCGAUUGUUUCCAG
ensembl:miRNA MIR6888 microRNA 6888